rnacentral:rRNA from 1 species
AAUACAUGCAAGUCGAGCGAAUGGAUUAAGAGCUUGCUCUUAUGAAGUUAGCGGCGGACGGGUGAGUAACACGUGGGUAACCUGCCCAUAAGACUGGGAUAACUCCGGGAAACCGGGGCUAAUACCGGAUAACAUUUUGAACCGCAUGGUUCGAAAUUGAAAGGCGGCUUCGGCUGUCACUUAUGGAUGGACCCGCGUCGCAUUAGCUAGUUGGUGAGGUAACGGCUCACCAAGGCAACGAUGCGUAGCCGACCUGAGAGGGUGAUCGGCCACACUGGGACUGAGACACGGCCCAGACUCCUACGGGAGGCAGCAGUAGGGAAUCUUCCGCAAUGGACGAAAGUCUGACGGAGCAACGCCGCGUGAGUGAUGAAGGCUUUCGGGUCGUAAAACUCUGUUGUUAGGGAAGAACAAGUGCUAGUUGAAUAAGCUGGCACCUUGACGGUACCUAACCAGAAAGCCACGGCUAACUACGUGCCAGCAGCCGCGGUAAUACGUAGGUGGCAAGCGUUAUCCGGAAUUAUUGGGCGUAAAGCGCGCGCAGGUGGUUUCUUAAGUCUGAUGUGAAAGCCCACGGCUCAACCGUGGAGGGUCAUUGGAAACUGGGAGACUUGAGUGCAGAAGAGGAAGUGGAAUUCCAUGUGUAGCGGUGAAAUGCGUAGAGAUAUGGAGGAACACCAGUGGCGAAGGCGACUUUCUGGUCUGUAACUGACACUGAGGCGCGAAAGCGUGGGGAGCAAACAGGAUUAGAUACUCUGGUAGUCCACGCCGUAAACGAUGAGUGCUAAGUGUUAGAGGGUUUCCGCUCUUUUUAGUGCUGAAGUUAACGCAU